rnacentral:rRNA from 1 species
CGAAAGCUAGUUGCAUUUAACUUAGCUAAAUCUAAGUUGAUGCAAGAUUGACUUUAUCGAAUAAAGUUCUAGGUGGGUUAUGAUGAUGACAUUUCCUAUCUAUGUGUCUUGACCAAAUUACGUGCCAGCAGUCGCGGUAACACGUAAAAGACUAGUGUUAUUCAUCUUUAAUAGGUUUAAAGGGUACCUAGACGGUAAAUCAAGUCCGAGAAGGAUACUAAUUUGACUAGAGUUUAAUGUGAGGGGGCACUAAAGUACUGAUAAGUGUAGAGAUGAAAUUCUGUGAUACAAUAUACGGCACUGGCAAAGGCGAAAGCAUCUCAUUAUGUAACAACUGACGUUGAGGGACGAAGGCAUGGUUAGCAAAAAGGAUUAGAUACCCAAGUAGUCUUAGCAGAAAAUUAUGAAUGUCAUAGGAUGGAAAGUUGCAUGGACAAAAAACAAAAUUAAAAAAAAAUUUGUUGUUCCACAAAUUUUUUUUCUAUAAAUGAAAGUGUAAGCAUUCCACCUCGAGAGUAAUUUGGCAACAUUGGAACUGAAAUCAUUAGACCGUUUCUGAAACAAGUAGUGAAGUAUGUUGUUUAAUUUGAUGGUCCGCAAAAAACCUUACCACAAUUUGAAUAGAAAUUUUUUUUUCAUACAAGCGCUGCACGGUUGUCUUCAGUUAAUGUCGUGAGAUCUUGGUUAGUUCCAUUAAAUUAACGUAAACCCUUACUUUAUUUUUAUAUAGAGUAGUUCACCGCUAGAUUGGAUGAGAUAACAGGGACUAAGACAAGUCAUCAUGGCCUUAAUAUUGUGGGCUAUA